rnacentral:rRNA from 1 species
AGAGUUUGAUCCUGGCUCAGGAUGAACGCUAGCGAUAGGCCUAACACAUGCAAGUCGAGGGGCAGCACAUGAGUAGCAAUACGAUGGUGGCGACCGGCGCACGGGUGAGUAACACGUAUGCAACCUACCUCUAACAGGGGGAUAGCCCGUUGAAAGACGGACUAAUACCCCAUAAUACAGGGGCUCCGCAUGGAGAUAUUUGUUAAAGAUUUUAUCGGUUAGAGAUGGGCAUGCGUUCCAUUAGCUAGUUGGUGAGGUAACGGCUCACCAAGGCGACGAUGGAUAGGGGUUCUGAGAGGAAGGUCCCCCACACUGGAACUGAGACACGGUCCAGACUCCUACGGGAGGCAGCAGUGAGGAAUAUUGGUCAAUGGGCGCGAGCCUGAACCAGCCACGUCGCGUGAAGGAUGACGGCCUUAUGGGUUGUAAACUUCUUUUACAGGGGAAUAAAGUGAGUCACGUGUGAUUUUUUGCAUGUACCCUGUGAAUAAGCAUCGGCUAACUCCGUGCCAGCAGCCGCGGUAAUACGGAGGAUGCGAGCGUUAUCCGGAUUUAUUGGGUUUAAAGGGUGCGUAGGCGGGAUAUUAAGUCAGCGGUGAAAGUUUUCGGCUCAACCUUAAAAUUGCCGUUGAAACUGUUAUUCUUGAGUGCAGUAGAGGUAGGCGGAAUUCGUUGUGUAGCGGUGAAAUGCGUAGAUAUAACGAGGAACUCCGAUUGCGUAGGCAGCUUACUAUAUUGCUACUGACGCUGAGGCACGAAAGUGUGGGUAUCAAACAGGAUUAGAUACCCUGGUAGUCCACACAGUAAACGAUGAAUACUAGCUGUUUGCGAUAUAUUGUAAGCGGCCGAGCGAAAGCAUUAAGUAUUCCACCUGGGGAGUACGUCGGCAACGAUGAAACUCAAGGAAUUGACGG